ACGGCCAUAUCAUGCUGAAACAUCGGUUCCAGUACGACCAACGAAGUUAAGCAAUGUCGAGCCUGGUUAGUACCUAGUUGGGUGACCGCUUGAGAAUACCACGUGCUGUAAG